UGGGGAAUAUUGCACAAUGGGCGCAAGCCUGAUGCAGCCAUGCCGCGUGUAUGAAGAAGGCCUUCGGGUUGUAAAGUACUUUCAGCGGGGAGGAAGGUGUUGUGGUUAAUAACCACAGCAAUUGACGUUACCCGCAGAAGAAGCACCGGCUAACUCCGUGCCAGCAGCCGCGGUAAUACGGAGGGUGCAAGCGUUAAUCGGAAUUACUGGGCGUAAAGCGCACGCAGGCGGUCUGUCAAGUCGGAUGUGGAAUCCCCGGGCUCAACCUGGGAACUGCAUCCGAAACUGGCAGGCUUGAGUCUUGUAGAGGGGGGUAGAAUUCCAGGUGUAGCGGUGAAAUGCGUAGAGAUCUGGAGGAAUACCGGUGGCGAAGGCGGCCCCCUGGACAAAGACUGACGCUCAGGUGCGAAAGCGUGGGGAGCAAACA
rnacentral:rRNA from 1 species